rnacentral:lncRNA from 1 species
AAAGGUUAAACUAAUAAAUUAAGUUCUGAUUUUGGUUUUCUAUCUAACCAUAUCCAUCAUGGGAAAGCAUUAAAAGAAAAGGCGUGACAGUAAAAUUAAAUAAAGUAAGUUGCUUCUAAAUAAAUCUCAUGCUUUUCUAAAACAAAGAAAAAAGAAAUAAAAAAAAUAAAUGGAUCACUUUCUUUCUCUCCAUGAAUCAUCACCG